rnacentral:pre_miRNA from 1 species
UUUACGAGUUUUCGUGUCGAAUUUUGAUCGUAUAUCUUAUUUUAAACUUUUUAUGAUUAUUAUUUUUAUUAUUAUUAGAUGAUAAAUAUAAAUAAUACUUUAUACGUGAUUUAUGUUUUAAUUUUUUUUAAAUAAAACAGAUGAUUAAAAUUGAACAUAAAAACACAUUAUUAUCCUUAGA